UCCCUAGUGGCUCAGUUGGUAAAGAAUCUGCCUACAAUGCAGGAGACCCAGGUUCGAUCCCUGGGUACGGAA
rnacentral:tRNA from 1 species